rnacentral:rRNA from 1 species
CCCACGCCGAAAGACCAAGGUUUCCUGCGCAACGUUAAUCGACGCAGGGUUAGUCGGUCCCUAAGGCGAGGCUGAAAAGCGUAGUCGAUGGAAAACAGGUUAAUAUUCCUGUACUUCUGGUUAUUGCGAUGGAGGGACGGAGAAGGCUAGGCCAGCCUGGCGUUGGUAGUCCAGGUUUAAGGUGGUAGGCUGAGAUCUUAGGUAAAUCCGGGAUCUUAAGGCCGAGAGCUGAUGACGAGUGUUCUUUUAGAACAUGAAGUGGUUGAUGCCAUGCUUCCAAGAAAAGCUUCUAAGCUUCAGGUAACCAGGAACCGUACCCCAAACCGACACAGGUGGUUGGGUAGAGAAUACCAAGGCGCUUGAGAGAACUCGGGUGAAGGAACUAGGCAAAAUGGCACCGUAACUUCGGGAGAAGGUGCGCCGGUGAGGGUGAAGCAUUUACUGCGUAAGCCCACGCCGGUCGAAGAUACCAGGCCGCUGCGACUGUUUAUUAAAAACACAGCACUCUGCAAACACGAAAGUGGACGUAUAGGGUGUGACGCCUGCCCGGUGCCGGAAGGUUAAUUGAUGGGGUUAGCGCAAGCGAAGCUCUUGAUCGAAGCCCCGGUAAACGGCGGCCGUAACUAUAACGGUCCUAAGGUAGCGAAAUUCCUUGUCGGGUAAGUUCCGACCUGCACGAAUGGCGUAACGAUGGCGGCGCUGUCUCCACCCGAGACUCAGUGAAAUUGAAAUCGCUGUGAAGAUGCAGUGUAUCCGCGGCUAGACGGAAAGACCCCGUGAACCUUUACUAUAGCUUUGCACUGGACUUUGAAUUUGCUUGUGUAGGAUAGGUGGGAGGCUUUGAAGCGUGGACGCCAGUCUGCGUGGAGCCAACCUUGAAAUACCACCCUGGCAACUUUGAGGUUCUAACUCAGGUCCGUUAUCCGGAUCGAGGACAGUGUAUGGUGGGUAGUUUGACUGGGGCGGUCUCCUCCUAAAGAGUAACGGAGGAGUACGAAGGUGCGCUCAGACCGGUCGGAAAUCGGUCGUAGAGUAUAAAGGCAAAAGCGCGCUUGACUGCGAGACAGACACGUCGAGCAGGUACGAAAGUAGGUCUUAGUGAUCCGGUGGUUCUGUAUGGAAGGGCCAUCGCUCAACGGAUAAAAGGUACUCCGGGGAUAACAGGCUGAUACCGCCCAAGAGUUCAUAUCGACGGCGGUGUUUGGCACCUCGAUGUCGGCUCAUCACAUCCUGGGGCUGAAGCCGGUCCCAAGGGUAUGGCUGUUCGCCAUUUAAAGUGGUACGCGAGCUGGGUUUAGAACGUCGUGAGACAGUUCGGUCCCUAUCUGCCGUGGACGUUUGAGAUUUGAGAGGGGCUGCUCCUAGUACGAGAGGACCGGAGUGGACGAACCUCUGGUGUUCCGGUUGUCACGCCAGUGGCAUUGCCGGGUAGCUAUGUUCGGAAAAGAUAACCGCUGAAAGCAUCUAAGCGGGAAACUUGCCUCAAGAUGAGAUCUCACUGGAACCUUGAGUUCCCUGAAGGGCCGUCGAAGACUACGACGUUGAUAGGUUGGGUGUGUAAGCGCUGUGAGGCGUUGAGCUAACCAAUACUAAUUGCCCGUGAGGCUUGACCAUAUAACACCCA